UAGGGAAUCUUCCGCAAUGGACGCAAGUCUGACGGAGCAACGCCGCGUGAGUGAAGAAGGAUUUCGGUUCGUAAAACUAUGUUGUUAGAGAAGAACAGCGCAUAGAGUAACUGUUAUGCGUGUGACGGUAUCUAACCAGAAAGCCACGGCUAACUACGUGCCAGCAGCCGCGGUAAUACGUAGGUGGCAAGCGUUGUCCGGAUUUAUUGGGCGUAAAGCGAGCGCAGGCGGUCAAUUAAGUCUGAUGUGAAAGCCCCCGGCUCAACCGGGGAGGGUCAUUGGAAACUGGUUGACUUGAGUACAGGAGAGGAGGGUGGAAUUCCAUGUGUAGCGGUGAAAUGCGUAGGUAUAUGGAAGAACACCAGUGGCGAAGGCGACUCUCUGGUCUGUAACUGACGCUGAGGCUCGAAAGCGUGGGUAGCAAACAGA
rnacentral:rRNA from 1 species